rnacentral:rRNA from 1 species
AACGCUGCCGGCGUGCCUAAUACAUGCAAGUCGAGCGGACAGAUGGGAGCUUGCUCCCUGAUGUUAGCGGCGGACGGGUGAGUAACACGUGGGUAACCUGCCUGUAAGACUGGGAUAACUCCGGGAAACCGGGGCUAAUACCGGAUGCUUGUUUGAACCGCAUGGUUCAAACAUAAAAGGUGGCUUCGGCUACCACUUACAGAUGGACCCGCGGCGCAUUAGCUAGUUGGUGAGGUAAUGGCUCACCAAGGCAACGAUGCGUAGCCGACCUGAGAGGGUGAUCGGCCACACUGGGACUGAGACACGGCCCAAACUCCUACGGGAGGCAGCAGUAGGGAAUCUUCCGCAAUGGACGAAAGUCUGACGGAGCAACGCCGCGUGAGUGAUGAAGGUUUUCGGAUCGUAAAGCUCUGUUGUUAGGGAAGAACAAGUGCCGUUCAAAUAGGGCGGCACCUUGACGGUACCUAACCAGAAAGCCACGGCUAACUACGUGCCAGCAGCCGCGGUAAUACGUAGGUGGCAAGCGUUGUCCGAAUUAUUGGGCGUAAGGGCUCGCAGGC